rnacentral:rRNA from 1 species
AACGCUGGCGGUGCGCCUUAUGCAUGCAAGUUGAGCGAAGCUUUUUGGUAGUUUACUACUAGAAAUGACUGAGCGGCGAACGGGUGAGUAACGCGUGAGCAAUCUACCUUAGUUACUGGGAUAGCCCGAGGAAACUCGGAUUAAUACCGGAUAUUCUUAUUUUUUCACAUGAAGUUUUAAGGAAAGGUCAGCCGAACUAAGAUGAGCUCGCGUUCUAUCAGCUAGUUGGUGGGGUAAAAGCCUACCAAGGCUACGACGGAUAGCUGGUCUGAGAGGACGAUCAGCCACACUGGGACUGAGACACGGCCCAGACUCCUACGGGAGGCUGCAGCAGGGAAUAUUGUGCAAUGAGCGAAAGCUUGACACAGCGACACCGCGUGUGGGAUGACGGUUCUAGGAUUGUAAACCACUUUCAGGAGGGAAGAAAAUGACGGUACCUCCACAAGAAGACCCGGCCA